UGGCUCAGUUGGUAGAGCAUAGUGUUUGUAACGCCAGGGUUGUGGGUUCGAUUCCCAU
rnacentral:tRNA from 1 species